GGGGAUUUAGCUCAGUGGCACAGUGCCUGCCUGGCAAGCAGAAGGUCCUAAGUUUGAUCCCCA
rnacentral:tRNA from 1 species